CCUACGGGUGACUGCAGUGGGGAAUAUUGCACAAUGGGGGAAACCCUGAUGCAGCGACGCCGCGUGAGCGAAGAAGUAUUUCGGUACGUAAAGCUCUAUCAGCAGGGAAGAAAAUGACGGUACCUGACUAAGAAGCUCCGGCUAAAUACGUGCCAGCAGCCGCGGUAAUACGUAUGGAGCAAGCGUUAUCCGGAUUUACUGGGUGUAAAGGGAGCGUAGGCGGUAAGGCAAGUCUGAUGUGAAAUGCCAGGGCUCAACCCUGGGACUGCAUUGGAAACUGUGUAGCUGGAGUGCCGGAGAGGUAAGUGGAAUUCCUAGUGUAGCGGUGAAAUGCGUAGAUAUUAGGAGGAACACCAGUGGCGAAGGCGGCUUACUGGACGGUAACUGACGUUGAGGCACGAAGGCCAGGGGAGCGAAAGGGAUUAGAUACCCCAGUAGUC
rnacentral:rRNA from 1 species